rnacentral:miRNA from 1 species
GAGUAUAAACUGGGGCGGGCGCG